UUUCUUCCAAGUUUUUAUUCCUUUCUAACUAAAACAACCGACUAAAAAAUUACUUCAUCUCAUCUUCUUAAUUUUGAAAUCUUCUCGUAUCCAUGGUAAAGGGAGUAAAGAAAAAAAUCUUUAUAAAAGAAAAAAAAAUAAAAAAUUCUCCAAAUCGGACGAUACUUCUCCGAUUUUGACUAAUUCUAACCCAGAAAAUCCUCAUAUUUCUGAAAUAUUGUCUUCAUUCUCUCUUUAUUUUCCCAAUUUCUUUUGGGAAUGUCUAAGGUUAUGCAAUUUCUUACAAAAGAUGGCUCCUUUAUGUACCAAUUCGAAGGUUAGGCUGUGAAUAUUUGGGGUUUUUUUUGUUAAAUUCUGACAAGCUUAUGUCUUUUUUUAUUUUAUUUUGCAGGCCUUGCAAAUCUAUCAGUUACAUGUUAAAUUUUGAUAUAUAACUUGAUUUUGUAUAGCUAAUGUGCCUAUGUUGUUUCCUUUUACUGUUUUUUUUCUUUCAAGUCACAAAAAUGAUUUGAUAAUGUUGUUGUGGAGUCUUCAUAUAUGUCCUUACUCUUUAUAUUUCUCAAGUUUUUAUGAGUCUUUUUAAUGGAGAACUGAAGCUGCUGAGUUAGUAGUCAUUAGUUAUCCCAAUUGAGGCUGAUUUGCAGAACAUGUUAGUCACUUUAUUAGUGUCUCUUUGAUAUUUGUCUCUGAUCAGAUUCGAACACAUUACCAUUCCCUUUAUGUGUCUUGACGCAUAACAUAUUCUGAUAUAUAUCAUAUAGUUAUGGCGUUUGUAUUCUCCGGUUAGGACGUUCCUUCUUUCUGUAACUUUUGAUUUGAACAGAUUGUGGAGGUGAUGAUCCAGAGCUCAAACAGGAAAUGAAGAAGCAGUUUGUGGACACUGGCUAAGGAGUUGAAGCUGCAAGAAGCAGUUGGAGAUGAGCAUAGCCGUCAUAUGAACGAUACCCUUGCAGAAGCUAAAGUUGCAUCUUCACUAUCAUUGUGGGGAUACAAUGCUAUCCAACUUUACUUACAUAGUUUAUAUGCUCAUCUCGGAAACUAGCUUCUCCUGCUCCCCCUAGGUUACGUUAUAGGUCUUAUAUUUUGGGCAUACUCAUUUGGUGGACACUUCAACUCUCCACGUUGACACUAGUCUGCAUCUCUUGUGCUUUUUACAUGUUUUUGUUCUGUUUUUUUUUUUUUGCUUUGAGAUGUAUAAAUGAAUACUUUGUACAUUUGCAAUAUCAUAUUUGCUGGGGUUUUUAACAAUCGUCCACCGGCUAUCCUUAUGUACAUUACAUUAAGACUAUACAUGUGUACAUCUAUCUUGUAUUGUACACCUAAGUGAUUGUGUACAAAUUUCUCGAAGACUUGUUAGGACAAAGCAAGUGAGUGUGUAUAUCCAUGUGUACACAAUCUCAUAGUGUACAGGUGUACACAUAUAUACAUUUUUAACAUUUGAACAACAUUGUACAACCGUUGCAUAAAAUGUCACAAUUGGCAUUCAAAUUUACAAUUGCUUACAAACACUUAACUAUAUUUGGUCAUCUUCUAAUAACCAAAAACAGGCACGCCAUUGUGAAUCUUUUAAAUGGGUUAUAGAUCUGUGAAUCUCC
rnacentral:lncRNA from 1 species